GCCUAAAAUCCAAAAAGGGGGCUGGAAAAUCACGCUAGACCAAGACACUCUGCAAAAAUCUGAUCCGCCAUUUUCAGCAGACCAAAACGACCCCCUCCCCUGAUGUUCAUCUUCUUCGUAUCCCCCACCCCCUGAAACCAACGACCACCUAACGCCUAUGUGCUAAAAACCUAUCCUUCUCUUCAGAAGCUACAACGGCAACCAUAAACAUACGACCCAAAGCCAUCCCUCCUCACCAUCAAGAACACCCAGAUACAAACACACACAAAGAUAGAUAUAGGAACGGACAGAAGCAACUGAGAUCGAAAUUUUGUCAUUCGAAAACUUCAAUUGAGAUCACUUCCCAAAAGUUGUUGAAGUCGAAAAUUUGUUGUUGUUGAUUGUUGAACUCAUUGCUGAGUUCAGUCCGAUCUGGUUUCAGUCAUCGUUGAAGAGUCGAGUUUGUUUCGAAGAGGUUUGGUCGAGUUUCGCCAGGAUUCCGGCGAAGCAUUUUGUUUUUCUGUUCGAGUUUUCUAGUUCCGUUCGAGUUGCCGGUGAGGUGAAGGAAACAUGUUGGACCCGUUAACUUAGAUAUUUUAUGGGCGUUAAUUUGCUGAUCAUGAAUGAGGACCUUAAUGAAAAUGUUUUCAAGGUUGACGGGCCAGAGUCCACGUUUGGUUUGCUGUUUUCAUGUCAUCUCUGUAUCUCCUAUUUCAUUUCGAUAAUGAAUUUGUCAAUUAAACCUUAUGUUGCAUUUCUUGGUUAAUUUGUUUGGAAUCUGA